UCUCACACUUACUUUUGUCUGUCUAGAAAACCUUUGAAAAAAAAUCAGAUAGGUAAUCAUCCAAGAUCCUUGAAUAGCUUUAAGAGAGGGACUAGCACUUCAUACUUUGAUAAUGUUGUGGUGAAAUGGCUACUGCGCGUGAUUAUUAUUUCCACGAAAAUUACUUCCGCCGUCAUGAAAGCCUUUCCUUUAUGUGAAGCGGCGGGCAAAAUUUAUGGCAUAGCUCUUUCACCAUUUUUAGAAAAUCGUGCAGAAUUUGCUAUACAUUUUAGGCGCCGGUUUUGAAAUUUGUAAAUUGUUGGGGCGCCUUAUACUUGUCCGCAACAGUAACAGUUGCCUUUUACGGCUCUUACAUUUCGCUGAGUGAUUCAGUACUUAUUCACUUAUCAAUCACAAAUGGAAGAAGUAAAUUCAGGUCUGUUGCCUCUGCUUUUAGCAGGAGUUCAGUCGAAAACAUGGCAGAGUUGGAUUUUGGGCAAUUAUUUCAGCAUCAGCCCAUCUCAAGGCUACGGUUUGUGUGAGAGGAUGACCUUGAAAUGUUUCUACUUUUCAAAAUAGCUGCUAAGUCUUGCGAUUUUUCGCAAGCAUCUCUUCUGGACGUUUGGGGUCCUCCUUAGAAAAGACAACGCUUAUCUGAUUCCCACAAAUUAUUUGAUUAUUCAUAUGUCGCUUGGCCUCUGCAGCAUCCUCAGCAUUUCGGAACUUAACAAAUCCAAAACCUCUCGGUUUACUGCAAGGAAGUAGAUCCUUCGAAUAAAUUGAUGGAGACUCAUAUACUGGACGUCCCGGUUAUGAGAGGCACAAUGUCCCAAGUAUGACGGGCAUGAAUGGAGAUCCCUGCAAUGACGGUGCUGGAAAAGCAGAGACCAAGCUUUCCAUUGGUGACCAUGGCAGCCAUGACUGGACCGACACUGAUGGAGAAUCACUCUGAAAAUUUCUCCUGGCAUGACAGUGACUGUGAUAGAAAAGCAGUAGGUAGCACACAGAACAAUCAGACAACACGACAACCUUAAUCCAUGCAAAAACUUUCUGAACCCCAUGGGAAUCUGAUUUCAUGCUCACAUAUACUUAAAACACCCGUGGCUUGUCAUGUCCGAUUCUCCACUUGCUCCCCAUUAAAUCCCAGUUUUCUUCUCUUCUCAGACUGUACACCAAAGCUAUUGGGUUCCAGGUACCAGUAGCCACUUACUACAAAGCUUCGGUCAUUUCUAAUGGACAUGACUGUUUAUGUGAAUUAUACUGGCCGACCGCAAAAUUGCAAUCAAGAAGAAAAUUUGGACUGUGCUCUGUAACCUCUCUGCAAGGAAUCUGCACCUUACACGUUUCGAAACUUGAACCGCUGUAGAUGGCAGCAGAAAAGGAUGGAAAUAUUGAUUUGAAUGAUGUUCAGCAAACCAAACAUGCUUAAAGAACCAUUUUCAAGUUUUUUUUUGUCUUUAAAAAAAAUUAGUUUUGUUUA